rnacentral:rRNA from 1 species
UUUCGCAAUGCCCGAAAGGGUGACGGAGCGACGCCGCGUGGAGGAUGAAGGCCUUCGGGUUGUAAACUCCUGUCACGGGUUAUGAAUUACGACGUGCUAAUACCACGGCGUUUGACAAAGGCCCGAAAGGAAGCCACGGCUAACUCCGUGCCAGCAGCCGCGGUAAGACGGAGGGGGCAAGCGUUGUUCGGAAUUAUUGGGCGUAAAGGGCGCGUAGGCGGAUUGGUAAGUCUGGCGUGAAAUCUCCACCACUUAACGGGGAGAGGUCGCUGGAAACUGCCGAUCUGGAGUUCGGUAGAGGAUCAUGGAAUUCCAGGUGUAGCGGUGGAAUGCGUAGAUAUCUGGAAGAACACCGGUGGCGAAGGCGGUGAUCUGGGCCGAAACUGACGCUGAGGCGCGAAAGCUAGGGGAGCAAACAGGAUUAGAUACCCUGGUAGUCCUAGCCGUAAACGAUGGGCACUAAGUAGAGGGGUUUU